GUCUACGGCCAUACCACCCUGAAUACACUCGAUCUGGUCUGAUCUCAAUGCUAAGCAGGGUCAGGCCUUGUUAGUGCUUAGAUGGGAGAAGAUUUUCCUUAGGAAGAAGAGACCACUAUAAUGC
rnacentral:rRNA from 1 species